GCAGCCUGCGCGCACGUGCCGGGCAGCGUGCGCGGGGGUCACGUGGGCGCGCGCGUGAUGCGCGGCGCGAAGCGGCCGUUUAGGGCCUCCGGCUGCAUCAGGGGCCGCGCUGAACCGGGCCGGGGGGCGAGGGGAAGCAGCAGCUUUAUCGCCGGGCAAUCGACUGAGGCGGCGCUCGGUGCGAUCUCGCGCGGAGCCCUAUCGGGGGGCUAAGAAACAGCCCCCGUCGCUGGGGGUCUUCUCUGUGGCGGACCCGCCUCCGGGUUCCCUGCCGGUGUUUCACAGAAUUGCUGUCCAGCGCUAACGCGUCUGCACAAGCACUGGCUUUUAAAACCAGAGGGCUGCAAUCAUGCAGACAGGAAUACCCGGCAGCUGUCUGCACUUGGGGAACUGCUGAUACCAGAGAAUUGAGGGGCCAGUUCCCAAAGCACUCAUCAAAGGUUGUUGUAUCGUUUAGUUUCUGUUAGAUAAUGCACCUCACUAUGAUAAUCUGUGAAGGAGAAGGCAAUGUGGAUGUGCUUCUAAUAAGGAAUAAAUCUGCAUUUCUAAUUUGAUCCCCGAAGAUCUCAGCUGAGGUAAAAAAAUCGGUAAAGACUAGUGAAAAUCAGUGCACACCUGCUUUUAAAGUAAAACAAGACAAAUGGGGACAGGGAAAUUGAGCUUUAGAAAGAUGUAAGAAACCAAACCAAAACAAAACAAUGAACUACAACAACCAACAGGCCUUUAUGGAAGCAGGAGAAAGAACUCGCCCUGACCCCUGUGGUGCAGUAGAGCUGCCUGGGAUCCCAGUCCCUGCUUUCCAAAACACAAGGUCAUGUCUUCACCCCCUGCCCGAGGCAUGACCAGCCUCCUUUGAGAUGCAGCAGGAAGGGGCGCGCUUGCACCCCAGGAAAGGGCAGCAGCGGUGGCGGCAGCAGGUGCGCUGCCACUGGGUGCCCCGUGAGUGCAGUGAGGCAGAACAGCUUCUGCUGCUGAGCCUGGGGCAGGGCAGCUCUGUGCAGCCAGCGGCGCUGCCGUAAUUGAGGCUGCAAUGAGUUUAGUGUUUGUGACAGAUUGACAGCCUCGAAGAGCAAAAUGCUGUAGCCACAGGAAGGAUGCAGAGAGUAAAGCGACAGUGGCAGCUCACCCUUGCUCGCGUCCUGCCUGCACGUGUCUAGGAUUUGCAUGGCUGUUGCUAGUGGCAGGUGAGCCACUGGCUUCUCUCUGCUGCUAUGUGACCUACUGAGACUGAACUAUAACCAGAGAUAGUAAAUAGAGAUUUAGACUUUCUUGAGUGAAACUGGCUCUAAAAAAUCCAAGUUGUCUUAUUUUGUGUGGCUUUUUUUUUUCCUGGGAGGAAAUUUGGCAUUUUUGUUACUUUAUUUCUUUGAAGUCAUGCUUUCAAGUUCAUUUCUGCAACCAGCAUGCAGGAAACUUCUCAAAGAAGGCAGAGAUCACAUGACUCCAGGAGCUGAUGUUUGAAGAGAAAAGGAAAUACGUUGCAAAACCCAGGGUACAGGGUAGACUGUACGUUUGCCUGAAACGCACAUGGCACCCAGUCCCAAAGCUUGCUGGAUGUCGAAGACAUUCAGUCUGCUGCGAGUAGUAGUGAAAAUUAAACAAACAAAGCCCCAAAACAUAGACUUAGGACCUAUUGCAAAGCCCAUUCUCGAGAAAAGGACUCACAUGAACUCAAUUGGUAGGUCAGACCUUUCUUAACAGGGCUGAUAGUUUGAGUUCUAUAGCUGUAAUCCUUCCAAACGUGAAACUUUCAUUGCCUCCAGUGGGAGGUACAUGAUAUAACCUUCCACUGGCUUAACAAUCUCAACUGUGUUUAUUUAAUGCACUAUAAUGGAGCCUUUCAUGCCACUAUAAUAUACUGGAUAAAUAAGAUCUGUUUUCAAAGUUUAUAGCUUAAGAAAAUACAUUUAUUGGCUUGCAUCCUUUAUCUUGUGGUUUAUGAGAAAAUAGAGUAGGUACUUAAGGGUGUACAGUAAAUGUAGCACCCAGUCCUGCACUCUUAGCACUUGAGAAGUGCAGAUGAGGGUCCAUGUAUCACAGAGUUGCAGAAAGUAGGUAGGAAAAAUCAAGCAUUGAUAACACAUAUUUGUGUAUAAUUGAAUGUACAUUUAAACCUGUCAGGCUCUUGUCCAGUGUUUGUAUGAUUUUUUCUAACCUUGAGCAAAGACGAAACAUACCAUUUGAUUUAGUCUCCAAAGGGAUCUUGAGGGAGCCUGGAACUUAAUAAUUAAAGUGGGGUCUAGGGUCCCUGUCAUUGGCCUUUUGUCUCCAGCAGCAAUGGGUUAUCAGCAUCAAUUACAAACCUUUUUUUCCACAUGCUUGCUUAUGUUAAGCACUGGUAUUAUCUGAACACACGUAUUUUGUCUUUAUGUUUUAUGUAAUAAAAUUUAAUAGGCUCCACUGAUGGUGCAACUUGGUGUAAAGUCAUUUGGCACAUUUGAUUCAAGGGCUAAUAAAAACAGGCCUUCCUGUUAUUGUACAUGGUAAAUACUGAAAUUGAUAAAACCCUAUAAGGAACUAGGUUUAUAGUCCAAUGAAAUCUAAACUGAUUCAUAUUCCCAAAGGCUGAAAAUUUGCAAAAGACAUAAAGCCUGGCCCAUGCUCAUGUUUCAAAGCACCCAAGCUGUUCAUGAGGGGUACAAUUUUCUUGAAAAGUGCUUGUGGCUCCACUCUUUCUGUGCAAAUAGUAAUAUGGUAGGAAUGGCUUCCUGCUCAGAAAGGCCGAUUCCUUCCCCGGUGUGAGGAGUUGGAGUAUAUGAGCACAUUCAUCCCAGUGUAACUCCGGCCACGUAACAAGUGUUAAGCUGUUCAAAUAUGCAGGUCAAAGUAAAGUGGCUGGUGAGUUACUGAGUUGAAGGGUUGAACCAAGUCUGCUUUCAUUCCUGUGAUAGCACAAGGUGCAGGACAGGAUCCAAAGACAACUGAGGUCAGACACAGUUUUUUCCAUUACCUUUGAUGACCUUUGAUUUCAACCCACACAUAAUUGCUUUUAGCGGGUAUAUGGAUACAAAGGAGCAGCCUUUGGUCCAUUAUCAUCACUGUAUGGAAAAAGCACUUGUAUGUGUCCAUUGAUAUGUGUACAGAUAGCCUUCCUGUAUCUCUUUCUAGUGGGAAUUAAUUUUACUAUACAGCUUCCAUGCAAAAAGUCAGAUACCUAUUCCUUAACAAUCCCAUUUGAACAGUUUAAAAGGAGCUCUUAUUGUUCACUCGAUUUAUAAUUCCUCCUAUAUUUUAAAGGACUGCUGGAACCAACACAAGUCUUAGAGUUUUCUAUUCCAUUUGUGUUGCA